rnacentral:rRNA from 1 species
GUAACGCGUAUAGAACCUACCUUUUACAGAGGGAUAGCCCAGAGAAAUUUGGAUUAAUACCUCAUAGUAUUAUAGAUUGGCAUCGAUUUAUAAUUAAACAUUUAUGGGUAAGAGAUGGCUAUGCGUCCUAUUAGCUAGUAGGUAAGGUAACGGCUUACCUAGGCAACGAUAGAUAGGGGUCCUGAGAGGGAGAUCCCCCACACUGGUACUGAGACACGGACCAGACUCC